rnacentral:lncRNA from 1 species
UUUUAGCCCCAUACUUCUUUUCACCCAAUUGCACUGUCUUGUUUUCCUAUCUGUUGCUCAGCUGUUAGUCAACGUUGUAAGAAGAAAGAGAGAAAUCUUACCCAGGUGAAAAAUUAGGCAGUCUUAAAGUGUGUGGUUCUCCUUGGGAAACUCUCAUUGUGAAGACUGGCAUGCUUUUUACACUUCCACAUUCAGAAGGAGGAGGCGGGAGAGGCUGCUCCAAGGAAGAACACGGCAGUUUUAAAGCCACCCUUGAGAAUUUCUCCUCUUGACCUUGUCAAAUCCAAAGGAACUCUCUUGAGCAUUCAGGAUCCCAUUUAUUCAAGCAUGUGCAUGGAUUCAUGCAAUACCAA